CCCCAUGCUGCCUGAUGGACCUAGCACUGUACUGCUGCUGUGCCAAUGGUUAAUCGCUGUGUUGUGUUCAGUCGCAGUCUCAGCCCUUUAUAUCUGUUUUCCCUUUCUGUUAUGGUAUGUAAAGUACAAGACAUCAGACAGAUGAGCUACUCUUCUGUUUGCGAGGGUAACACAACCCUUGCUGGCUGAUGUAGCCGGCCCUAUAGCUGCGAUGUGCAAAAGGUUAAUAACUGUAGUGAGUUGAGUUGCAUUCUCAGCUCUUUAUUUGUUUUUUUUCCAUUCUAUUACAGCAUGUAAUAUAUGAGACAUCAGGCAAAUGAGCUUCUCUUCUGUUUUUGAGGUUCACAGUCCCCAUGAACUGGCACUGUGCGAAGGGUUAAUAGCUGUGAUGCGCUCAUUUGCAGUCUCAGCCCUUUAUUUCUAUUGUCCCUUUCGGUUAUGGUAUGUAAAAUAGAAGAUAUCAGACAGAUGAGCUACUCUUCUGUUUCUGAGGAUCACAGACCCCAUACUGGCUGAUGUAGCUGGCCCAGUUUCAGUGAUGUGCAAAGGGUUAACAGCGGUGGUGCGUUCAGCUGCAGUCUCCGCUCUUUAUUUGUUUUUUCCAUUUUGUUAUGGCAUGUAAUAUAUGAGACAUCAGACAGAUGAGCUUCUCUUCUGUUUUUGAGGUUCACAGUCCCCAUGAACUGGCACUGUGCGAAGGGUUAAUAGCUGUGGUGCGUUCAUUCGUAGUCCCGGCCCUUUAUUUCUAUUGUCCCUUUCUGUUAUGGUAUGUAAAAUAGAAGAUAUCAGACAGAUGAGCUACUCUUCUGUUUCUGAGGGUCACAGACCCCAUGCUGGCUGAUGUAUUUAGCCCUUCUAUCUAUCUAUCUAUCU